UACGUAGGUGGCAAGCGUUAUCCGGAAUUAUUGGGCGUAAAGAGCGCGCAGGUGGUUAAUUAAGUCUGAUGUGAAAGCCCACGGCUUAACCGUGGAGGGUCAUUGGAGACUGGUUGACUUGAGUGCGGAAGAGGGAAGUGGAAUUCCAUGUGUAGCGGUGAAAUGCGUAGAGAUAUGGAGGAACACCAGUGGCGAAGGCGGCUUCCUGGUCUGCAACUGACACUGAGGCGCGAAAGCGUGGGGAGCAAACAGG
rnacentral:rRNA from 1 species